AGAGUUUGAUCCUGGCUCAGAAUGAACGUUGGCGGCGUGGAUUAGGCAUGCAAGUCGUGCGGAAAGGCCCCGCAAGGGGUACUCGAGCGGCGAAAGGGAUAGUAACACGUGGAUUACCUACCUCCAGGACGGGGAUAGCUGCGGGAAACUGCAAUUAAUACCCGAUGACGUCUUCGGACCAAAGGUGCGAUUCCGCCUGGAGACGGGUCCGCGUCCUAUUAGCUAGUUGGCAGGGUAACGGCCUACCAAGGCUCAGAUGGGUAGCGGGUGUGAGAGCACGACCCGCAUCACUGGGACUGAGAUACUGCCCAGACACCUACGGGUGGCUGCAGUCGAGGAUCUUCGGCAAUGGGCGAAAGCCUGACCGAGCGACGCCGCGUGAGGGAUUGAAGGCCUUCGGGUUGUAAACCUCUUUCGUAGAGGAGGAAGGGGCUGUGAAGAACAGUCCUUGACCUAUUCUAGGAAGAAGCUUGGGCUAAGUUCGUGCCAGCAGCCGCGGUAAGACGAACCAAGCGAACGUUAUUCGGAAUUACUGGGCUUAAAGCGCGUGUAGGCGGACUACCACGUUGGUUGUUGAAAUCCCCCGGCUUAACCGGGGAACUGGCACCAAUACGAGUAGUCUGGAGGUGGGUAGGGGAGACUGGAACUUCCGGUGGAGCGGUGAAAUGCGUUGAGAUCGGAAGGAACGCCCGCGGCGAAAGCGAGUCUCUGGACCCAUACUGACGCUGAGACGCGAAAGCCAGGGGAGCAAACGGGAUUAGAUACCCCGGUAGUCCUGGCUGUAAACAUUGGGCACUGGGUAGUGGAACCGCCGAUGGUUUCACUGCCGCAGGGAAACCGUGAAGUGCCCCGCCUGGGGAGUAUGGUCGCAAGGCUGAAACUCAAAGGAAUUGACGGGGGCUCACACAAGCAGUGGAGUAUGUGGCUUAAUUCGAGGCUACGCGAAAAACCUUACCUAGGCUUGACAUGCAAGGAUUAGUCGGCGGAAACGUCGAUGACGCCGCAAGGUGGAACUUGCACAGGUGCUGCAUGGCUGUCGUCAGCUCGUGCCGUGAGGUGUUGGGUUAAGUCCCGUAACGAGCGAAACCCCUGUGUCCAGUUGCCAGCGCGUAAAGGCGGGGACUCUGGACAGACCGCCGGUGUUAAACCGGAGGAAGGCGGGGACGACGUCAAGUCAUCAUGGCCCUUAUGCCUAGGGCUGCACACGUACUACAAUGGGCCGGACAAAGCGACGCAAGACCGCGAGGUGGAGCAAAUCGCAAAAACCGUCCCCCAGUUCAGAUUGUACUCUGCAAUUCGAGUACAUGAAGUUGGAAUUGCUAGUAAUCGCGGAUCAGCACUGCCGCGGUGAAUGUGUUCCUGAGCCUUGUACACACCGCCCGUCAAGCCACCAAAGGGGGGGGCAUCCGAAGUCGUCGGAGCUGAAAGGCAGACGCCGAAGAUGAAACUCCUGAUGGGGACUAAGUCGUAACAAGGUAACCGUAGGGGAACCUGCGGCUGGAUCACCUCCUU
rnacentral:rRNA from 1 species